UCACACAGUAUAAAAAAAAAAAAAAUUAAUAAAAAAAAAGUUUAAAAAAAGUUAAAUUAAAAAAAAAGGCCUUGGGCUAUUGGC
rnacentral:rRNA from 16 species